CCGGCCUGAGAGGGUGAUCGGACACACUGGAACUGAGACACGGUCCAGACUCCUACGGGAGGCAGCAGUAGGGAAUAUUGCUCAAUGGGGGAAACCCUGAAGCAGCAACGCCGCGUGGAGGAUGAAGGUUUUAGGAUUGUAAACUCCUUUUCUAAGAGAAGAUUAUGACGGUAUCUUAGGAAUAAGCACCGGCUAACUCCGUGCCAGCAGCCGCGGUAAUACGGAGGGUGCAAGCGUUACUCGGAAUCACUGGGCGUAAAGAGCGCGUAGGCGGG
rnacentral:rRNA from 1 species